rnacentral:rRNA from 1 species
UACGUGGGGGGCGAGCGUUGUCCGGAGUUACUGGGCGUAAAGCGCUUGUAGGCGGUCCACCAAGUUUGGGGUGACAGUUGCCGACUUAAUCGGCAAAGUGCCUCAAAGACUGGCGGACUUGAGGGCCACAGAGGGACAUGGAACUCCAGGUGUAGUGGUGAAAUGCGUAGAUAUCUGGAAGAACACCAAAGGCGAAGGCAGUGUCCUGGGUGGUCGCUGACGCUGAGAGGCGAAAGCCAGGGGAGCGAACGGG